GCUUCCGUAGCUCAGUUGGUUAGAGCUUCGUACUAAUAAUUGCUCCAGCCGAGCGAAAAUUGGUGAUGCGAAGGUCGCAGGUUCAAGCCCUGCCGGGAGCA